rnacentral:misc_RNA from 1 species
UUCAGCUGUUCAGCAUCUACGUUUUGAAUAGUGUUGAAAUUUAAAAGGCGUAUGUGCGCCUUGUUGAGCUUCAAAUGACGCAGUUGAGCACAAAUUAAAUACAUUGGGAUAAACAUUUAAAAGUGGUAUACGCUGUUGAUGCUGGACAAAAUCAGGAGCUAACAAAGAGAAAUGAAAGAGUGUGGAACGCGAACUUGCGCGAGAGAUUAAGAGAGCGAACGUUUCGUGGUCAAACAAAACAAUUGCUUUCACUAUCUCCACACGCUCGUGUUUGCAUUCGCGUUGGGCCUGCGUUGCGUUUUAAAAUAAAACUUCUGUCCGUGUGCACCAGCAGCAGUGCGUGAUGCUCCAUCGCUGCGAUAAAGGAAUUAUAUAAUAUUUAUCCAUAAAGUGCAUUCAUUGAUUGAUUUUCCAACCGGCAAUUCUUGAGUUCCAGCAGUGUCUCCAGUCUUUUGGAUAUGGCGCGUCUAAUUGAGAGCAAUUUUGUUCCGAUUGCUAUGGGCGUUGCAGCCAUCGUUGCCGGGGCAUUGAUAGUCCACUAUUUUAUCAAUAAGAAGUCGACGAAGCCCCGUCGCGAACCCAACCGAACUGCACGAUUACGCACUCUGGUCGAUCCCAAUGAUAAGUACCAGCUGCCACUGAUAGAGAAGGAGGUGCUCAGCGCUGAUACGAGACGUUUUCGCUUCGGUCUGCCCUCCAAGCAGCAUAUACUGGGUCUGCCUGUGGGCCAGCAUAUCCAUCUGAUAGCGACAAUUGACAAUGAGCUGGUCAUACGGCCGUAUACACCCAUCUCCUCCGAUGACGAUGUCGGCUACGUGGACCUGAUUGUGAAGGUGUACUUCAAGGAUACGCAUCCUAAAUUCCCAGCGGGUGGCAAAAUGACACAGUACUUGGAGCGAAUGGAAUUGGGCGAUAAGAUCGCGUUCCGUGGUCCCUCGGGUCGCUUGCAAUAUCUGGGCAACGGCACCUUCUCCAUUAAGAAACUCCGCAAAGAUCCACCCAAGCAAGUGACGGCCAAGUGCGUCAACAUGAUUGCCGGCGGCAGUGGCAUUACGCCCAUGUUGCAGCUCGUGCGCGAAGUGCUCAAGCACAGCGACAAGGAUAAGACACAGCUGGCGCUGCUCUUUGCCAAUCAGAGUGAAAAGGAUAUCUUACUGCGUGACGAACUAGAUACCUUGGCCAAGCAGCAUCCCGAUCAGUUUAAGGUCUGGUACACCGUGGACAAAGCAAGCGAAGCCUGGUUGUACAAUACGGGCCAUGUCAACGACGAGAUGAUGGGCGAGCAUCUGCAUCCGCCCAGCCCAGAUACAUUGUGCCUGCUGUGCGGUCCGCCGCCCAUGGUCAACUAUACCUGUAUACCGGGCCUUGAACGCCUGGGACAUCGUUCCGAGCAACGUUUUAGCUAUUAAGUAACGAAGCUUAGCAUUCGUAUAAUUUGAGCUUUUCAGUUAAAAAAUAACACAAAUCAAGGGAAAUGUUGUAUCUGUGUGCUUGUGCUGGACUUAUAGUGUUGGCUUCGUCAAUGAUGAGAUGAUCGCCGCUCAUCUGCUGCCCGCCAAUGACGACACGAUCGUGCUGCUCUGCGGCC